GCAGUGGGAGCACAGGUUUACCUGUGUGACUGCGUACCUUUUGUAUAAUGGGUCAGCGACUUAUAUUCUGUAGCAAGGUUAACCGAAUAGGGGAGCCGGAGGGAAACCGAGUCUUAAUUGGGCGUUAAGUUGCAGGGUAUAGACCCGAAACCCGGUGAUCUAGCCAUGGGCAGGUUGAAGGUUGGGUAACACUAACUGGAGGACCGAACCGACUAAUGUUGAAAAAUUAGCGGAUGACCUGUGGCUGGGGGUGAAAGGCCAAUCAAACCGGGAGAUAGCUGGUUCUCCCCGAAAGCUAUUUAGGUAGCGCCUCGUGAAUUCAUCUCCGGGGGUAGAGCACUGUUUCGGCUAGGGGGCCAUCCCGGCUUACCAACCCGAUGCAAACUGCGAAUACCGGAGAAUGUUAUCACGGGAGACACACGGCGGGUGCUAACGUCCGUCGUGAAGAGGGAAACAACCCAGACCGCCAGCUAAGGUCCCAAAGUCAUGGUUAAGUGGGAAACGAUGUGGGAAGGCCCAGACAGCCAGGAUGUUGGCUUAGAAGCAGCCAUCAUUUAAAGAAAGCGUAAUAGCUCACUGGUCGAGUCGGCCUGCGCGGAAGAUGUAACGGGGCUAAACCAUG
rnacentral:rRNA from 1 species